rnacentral:rRNA from 1 species
UACGUAGGGGGCAAGCGUUAUCCGGAUUUACUGGGUGUAAAGGGAGCGUAGACGGCAGAGCAAGUCUGAAGUGAAAGCCCGCGGCCCAACUGCGGGACUGCUUUGGAUACUGCCCGGCUAGAGUGCUGGAGAGGUAAGCGGAAUUCCUAGUGUAGCGGUGAAAUGCGUAGAUAUUAGGAGGAACACCAGUGGCGAAGGCGGCUUACUGGACAGUAACUGACGUUGAGGCUCGAAAGCGUGGGGAGCAAACAGG